rnacentral:tRNA from 1 species
GGGGUUAUGGCUCAGAGGUAGAGUGCUUGCCUAGCAUGCAUGAGGCACUGGGUUCAAUCCUCAGGACCACA